rnacentral:tRNA from 1 species
UGGGCAGGACGGUCCGGAAUCGGAACCGCCCUUCGGAGUCGGUGUGGAAAAGACCGCGCCCGUUGCCGGCCGGUUGGACCCCGGGCUGCUGGA